rnacentral:rRNA from 1 species
GACAGAGGGUGCAAACGUUGCUCGGAAUUACUGGGCGUAAAGCGCGUGUAGGCUGACCGGAAAGUCGGGCGUGAAAGACCCCGGCUCAACUGGGGAGGGUCGUGCGAUACGGGCGGACUGGAGGCCAGUAGGGGGAUGCGGAAUUCCGGGUGUAGUGGUGGAAUGCGUAGAGAUCCGGAGGAACACCAGCGGCGAAGGCGGCAUCCUGGACUGGUCCUGACACUCAGGAGCGAAAGCGUGGGGAGCGAUCCGG